rnacentral:rRNA from 1 species
UACACAUGCAAGUCGAACGAUGAAGCCCAGCUUGCUGGGUGGAUUAGUGGCGAACGGGUGAGUAACACGUGAGUAACCUGCCCUUAACUCUGGGAUAAGCCUGGGAAACUGGGUCUAAUACCGGAUAGGAGCGUCUACCGCAUGGUGGGUGUUGGAAAGAUUUAUCGGUUUUGGAUGGACUCGCGGCCUAUCAGCUUGUUGGUGAGGUAAUGGCUCACCAAGGCGACGACGGGUAGCCGGCCUGAGAGGGUGACCGGCCACACUGGGACUGAGACACGGCCCAGACUCCUACGGGAGGCAGCAGUGGGGAAUAUUGCACAAUGGGCGAAAGCCUGAUGCAGCGACGCCGCGUGAGGGAUGACGGCCUUCGGGUUGUAAACCUCUUUCAGUAGGGAAGAAGCGAAAGUGACGGUACCUGCAGAAGAAGCACCGGCUAACUACGUGCCAGCAGCGGCCGGUAAUA